rnacentral:rRNA from 1 species
UGCAAGUCGAGCGGAAACGAUGAUAGCUUGCUAUCAGGCGUCGAGCGGCGGACGGGUGAGUAAUACUUAGGAAUCUACCUAGUAGUGGGGGAUAGCACGGGGAAACUCGUAUUAAUACCGCAUACGACCUACGGGAGAAAGGGGGCAGUUUACUGCUCUCGCUAUUAGAUGAGCCUAAGUCGGAUUAGCUAGAUGGUGGGGUAAAGGCCUACCAUGGCGACGAUCUGUAGCUGGUCUGAGAGGAUGAUCAGCCACACCGGGACUGAGACACGGCCCGGACUCCUACGGGAGGCAGCAGUGGGGAAUAUUGGACAAUGGGGGAAACCCUGAUCCAGCCAUGCCGCGUGUGUGAAGAAGGCCUUUUGGUUGUAAAGCACUUUAAGCAGUGAAGAAGACUCCUCGGUUAAUACCCGUGGACGAUGACAUUAGCUGCAGAAUAAGCACCGGCUAACUCUGUGCCAGCAGCCGCGGUAAUACAGAGGGUGCAAGCGUUAAUCGGAAUUACUGGGCGUAAAGGGAGCGUAGGUGGCUCGAUAAGUCAGAUGUGAAAUCCCCGGGCUCAACCUGGGAACUGCAUCUGAUACUGUUGAGCUAGAGUAUGUGAGAGGAAGGUAGAAUUCCAGGUGUAGCGGUGAAAUGCGUAGAGAUCUGGAGGAAUACCGAUGGCGAAGGCAGCCUUCUGGCAUAAUACUGACACUGAGGCUCGAAAGCGUGGGUAGCAAACAGGAUUAGAUACCCUGGUAGUCCACGCCGUAAACGAUGUCUACUAGUCGUUGGGUCCCUUGAGGACUUAGUGACGCAGCUAACGCAAUAAGUAGACCGCCUGGGGAGUACGGCCGCAAGGUUAAAACUCAAAUGAAUUGACGGGGGCCCGCACAAGCGGUGGAGCAUGUGGUUUAAUUCGAUGCAACGCGAAGAACCUUACCUGGUCUUGACAUAUCUAGAAUCCUGCAGAGAUGCGGGAGUGCCUUCGGGAAUUAGAAUACAGGUGCUGCAUGGCUGUCGUCAGCUCGUGUCGUGAGAUGUUGGGUUAAGUCCCGCAACGAGCGCAACCCUUGUCCUUAGUUACCAGCGGGUUAAGCCGGGAACUCUAAGGAUACUGCCAGUGACAAACUGGAGGAAGGCGGGGACGACGUCAAGUCAUCAUGGCCCUUACGACCAGGGCUACACACGUGCUACAAUGGUAGGUACAGAGGGCAGCUACACAGCGAUGUGAUGCGAAUCUCAAAAAGCCUAUCGUAGUCCAGAUUGGAGUCUGCAACUCGACUCCAUGAAGUAGGAAUCGCUAGUAAUCGCGGAUCAGAAUGCCGCGGUGAAUACGUUCCCGGGCCUUGUACACACCGCCCGUCACACCAUGGGAGUUGAUUGCACCAGAAGUGGAUAGCUUAACCUUCGGGGAGGCGUCAC